CGCACAUUGCGCCCCUUGGUAUUCCGGGGGGCAUGCCUGUUCGAGCGUCAUAAAACCCAUCAAGCUUCGCUUGGUAUUGGACCUUCGCCCGAGAGGGCGGGUCUGAAAGUCAGUGGCGGCGCGGCCGAAGAUUCGAGCGUAGUAAUAACAUCAUCCCGCUCUGGAGUCUCCGGUCGGGCCCGCCAGAUAACCAUAUUUUUUUUAUUCAAUGGUUGACCUCGGAUCAGGUAGGGAUACCCGCUGAACUUAA
rnacentral:misc_RNA from 1 species